UACGUAGGGAGCGAGCGUUAUCCGGAAUUAUUGGGUGUAAAGAGUGCGUAGACGGGAAGGUAAGUUGGUCUGUGAAAUCCCUCGGCUUAACUGAGGAACUGCAACCAAAACUGUCUUUCUUGAGUGCUGGAGAGGAAAGUGGAAUUCCUAGUGUAGCGGUGAAAUGCGUAGAUAUUAGGAGGAACACCAGUGGCGAAGGCGACUUUCUGGACAGUAACUGACGUUGAGGCACGAAAGCGUGGGGAGCAAA
rnacentral:rRNA from 1 species